rnacentral:rRNA from 1 species
UACGUAGGGUGCAAGGCGUUGUCCGGAAUUAUUGGGCGUAAAGAGCUCGUAGGCGGCCUGUCGCGUCGACUGUGAAAACCCAGGGCUCAACCCUGGGCCUGCAGUCGAUACGGGCAGGCUAGAGUGCAGUAGGGGAGACUGGAAUUCCUGGUGUAGCGGUGAAAUGCGCAGAUAUCAGGAGGAACACCGGUGGCGAAGGCGGGUCUCUGGGCCUGUACUGACGCUGAGGAGCGAAAGCGUGGGGAGCGAACAGG